GGGGAGCAGGGGAAAUUUUUUGCUCCUCUGAUUGGAGGAUAAAUAUCAUGUGCUUCAAAUUGGGCUUCUGUGCAGCAUUGUUCUUCCCUUGUGCUUGAGGGAGGAGGUGGAUAAUGAGAUGGGGUGGAGAAAACAGUUGUUUAAAAAUGGACAGGAGUGGAGGAAGAAAAGAGCUGGAGGACAAGGAGGCAGCAGAAAAUGGACAUAAAGAACUAGCUGCAGAGGUUCAUGCUCUACUAGCACUGCCCUUCUGACUCCAACUGCAGGGAUGUUUCAUGGAUCUCAACAUACAGUGUAAAUUCCUGCAAUUUAUCCAGCCACACCCAGUGUGAUUGGAUUCCCUCUUGAAGACAGUGAAGAAAACCCCGCUCAGAUGGAUCUCUAGCACAGAAUGUGUGAAACAGAAAACCAGAAAUGAUUUGUGUAUGUGUGUAGUAGAACUUCAUAAUGGAAAGAUGUUUUCCACUUUGUGCAAGUUGUAACGCACCUCAGCUGCGCGCAGUAUGCAAAUCAAUGUGCUUGCUUUAGGCUUAAAAGUUAUUCCAUUUUUAUAAGCCAUGACAACUACCUUGACUAAUUUUCUUCUUGUAACUUUCACUUGAAUAAUUCCCCACCUGUGUCCCCAUCAGUAAGUGUACAGAACGGAGAACUGCAAAAGUAUUGAUCAGCUGCUGAGUCAGUUCUGUGCAUGUGCAAGCAUUUGAAACACAAAGAGGGGGAUAAGAUCUCCAAAGACAAAAUCUGUUUUAAAUAGUACAAGGAAACGAAAUCCAUAUUUGAUGCAAUCCCUGCUAACAAUAAAGCCACUUUCAUUGAUCACCCCGAGGUGUACAAAUGUAAAAAUGUAAAAAAUAUUAGAAGGAAUCUACAACGAACUUGAAAGAUUAAUUAAAUGUAAAGCCAGUUUAAGUUUUGCUAGGCUUCCUUCACCUUUCUGCUUUGUAUACUAAAAACAGAUAUACAAAUUCAGGUUAUUUUAUUCACAUGUGAUCAAUUAUUUCUGUAUGUCAUAUAGGGAUGGACAAAUCUGUCAAAUUUUGUUUCUCUCACUUUUUCAUUUUCCCAACAGUUCUCCAAGUUUCUGUAUCAGUUUGCAUUUUUUUUUAAAAAAAGUCUGCAUUAAAAUUUGUCAGGUUUUUAGUGCAAAUUUCUCCAAAUAUACACGUUUUUAUAUACAAUUUUGCCUGAUCCACACCUUUCUGCAAGCAGUUUUCCUUAAUAUAAUGCAUUUUAUAUUAUUUUACUAAUAUAUGCAUUUUUAUACACACUUUCCCCAACAUACACAUUUUUGUACAUAUUCUUUUUGUUGGAGAACCACAUUAAAAAAUUCAGAGAAAUGCUGCUUUUGAAGGAUAACUGUGUUUUGGUUUACAUAUUGUUUUAGAAAGAGCAAGUUAGUUUCCCCUCUAAAAUCCUAACCAAAUGAAUUUGUACUCCAUUCCUGACGUUAACUUUUCCAACCAAAGCAACAUGAUAUCCUCUAGUUCUGUUCACAAAAUGGCAUACGCCAUUUGCCAUCCAUUUUUCAGCAGAGGCUGGCUGCUGUGGCUCCAGACUAACAGUUGCUGCAGAAACUGUACAACACACCACACAUGGGGAACCACAACAGCAUCCACAUUAGGCUGAAAGCUCCUCCCAAUAUGACACAACCACAUGUCCCAUGGGUGGAGUUUCUGUCAAGUGUACCCUGGACUACAGGGGAGCCUGCUGUUCACUGUAAAUUUGUAAGACUCCCCCCCCCCCGGGCACAAGAAGUGGGGAUGGAGGGGUCUGGCAAAUUUCUCAGUUUCUAAUUUUUCCAGUCUUGAAUUCAGUUUUCCUCAUUUCUGCAGCAAUUUGCUUUUUUUUUAAAA